UCCCAUCAGCCUCUACCCAGCCCUCCUCCCACCUCCAAUCACUUUCUCUUCUGCAACUGCACUGAACAGGGGUUUUCAUCAAAGAGAACACAAGCCAGCACAAUCCAGGAAUGUGCUUUUAAAUCCACUUUUCUUUGAAGUGGAGAAUGACAAGACCAGUGUCUCUCUCCCGUCAUUCAAAAAAGCUUGACUGAAAAGCAGUGAACUUUCCCAAAAGUUACGAAGAACAGAGACAAACACCAAGCUGCCCCAUCAUCAAAUUGAAGCCAGCACAGCCAUGUAGGAGGC